UCAGCUUUGGCCCGGGCGCGGAAUGUCUCGAACUGAUUUACAGACUUCUUUUCGAAUGUCUGUAGUUCACUUAUCAGUUUCCUCUGACUGGAAAUUUCCUUGUUUGCACAAUUAAGCUCUAUUGUCAGCUUUUGUACGUGGGGGUUAGUUCUGCAGUUCAUAUUGCGUUUUGAAGAAUCCUGUGGUGAUGUGAAAAACUCUGAUGUCUCCAGUAGGCUGUGUCCUUUAAAAGUGACAGCGUUGAAAGAUCAAAGCUAAAUUCAAGUUCUAUUUCUAGCGUAUAUAUGGCGACGGAAGGCAUGUCAUGCAGCAUCACAGAUGAUGCAUUCGUUGCCAUAGAUACGACAAGAACAACAUCACAACUUGUCCAGUUAAGAACAUGCUACAAAGCUCUUGCUGUUACCACGGAGACGGAAAACUGUGAUUCAAUCAGAUUCACGAAAGGGGACAUUUUUCUUUUGUUUGUUGUUUUAUUAUUAGUUUUAAUCAAACUUUGUAUUGAAUUCAUACAAUGUAAAGACCUUUUCUUUUUUUUACAUGGUCGUAAUCCAGAGGUAGUUGAGGCCUGAUUCAGGGAUUCGUUUUGAUAACAAGAGUCCUGGACGAAAGCAAGUCUUGGAGGGACGGUAGAUUGCAGCCGAUCACCCUCUCAGCACAGCGGAUGACAUUGCCCGAAAUGGUGGAACGAGCUCUCUGAUGACAUCAGGACCGCAGAGAGCCUUCACAUCUUUCGCCGCAAACUAAAAACACACCUCUUCAGACUCUACCUCGACUAAAAGACUAACAAGUUGUAGCACUUAAAUUGCCACAGCGCUUCAAUCGUUUCAAAACGGAGGACAGAUCCGGUGGAGGAGGUGGAGCUCGACGUGUUUCAAAUCUGGCUGAGGAAAGAUCCACUGGAGGAGGGGGAGCUCGAUGCGAAGAUGGAACUGGGGAG
ensembl:lncRNA